AUUGAACGCUGGCGGCAUGCUUUACACAUGCAAGUCGAACGGCAGCGGGGGCUUCGGCCUGCCGGCGAGUGGCGAACGGGUGCGUAAUAUCUCGGAACGUGCCCAGUAGUGGGGGAUAGCCCGGCGAAAGCCGGAUUAAUACCGCAUACGACCUGAGGGUGAAAGCGGGGGAUCGCAAGACCCCGCGCUAUUGGAGCGGCCGAUAUCAGAUUAGGUAGUUGGUGGGGUAAAGGCCCACCAAGCCGACGAUCUGUAGCUGGUCUGAGAGGACGACCAGCCACACUGGGACUGAGACACGGCCCAGACUCCUACGGGAGGCAGCAGUGGGGAAUUUUGGACAAUGGGCGCAAGCCUGAUCCAGCCAUGCCGCGUGCGGGAAGAAGGCCUUCGGGUUGUAAACCGCUUUUGUCAGGGAAGAAACGCUCUGGGCUAAUACCCUGGGAUAAUGACGGUACCUGAAGAAUAAGCACCGGCUAACUACGUGCCAGCCGCCGCGGUAA
rnacentral:rRNA from 1 species